rnacentral:piRNA from 1 species
UACCUUUUGUGGGAUUCCAGCCAA